rnacentral:rRNA from 1 species
GCCAACUACGUGCCGUCGGUCGGGGUAAGACGGGUGGUGGGGGGGUUGUCCGGAAGUAUGGUGCUUAAAGAGCUCGUUGGCGGCUGUGCGCAUUGUCCGUGAAAAUUUUCAGCUCAACGGUGAACUGGCGGGCGGUACGGGCAGGCGAGAGUACUGCAGGGGAGACUGGAAUUCCUGGUGUAGCGGUGAAAUGCGCAGAUAUCAGGAGGAACACCGGUGGCGAAGGCGGGUCUCUGGGCAGUAACUGACGCUGAGGAGCGAAAGCGUGGGGAGCGAACAGGACUAGAUACCCCGGUAGUC